rnacentral:rRNA from 1 species
CUACGGGCGGCUCCAGUGGGGAAUAUUGCACAAUGGAGGAAACUCUGAUGCAGCAACGCCGCGUGGAGGAUGACACUUUUCGGAGCGUAAACUCCUUUUAUAUAGGAAGAAGAUGACGGUACUAUAUGAAUAAGCGCCGGCUAACUCCGUGCCAGCAGCCGCGGUAAUACGGAGGGCGCAAGCGUUACUCGGGAUCACUGGGCGUAAAGAGCGUGUAGGCGGAUUAAAAAGUCAGAAGUGAAAUCCUAUAGCUUAACUAUAGAACUGCUUCUGAAACUCUUAAUCUAGAAUAUGGGAGAGGUAGAUGGAAUUUCUGGUGCAGGGGUAAAAUCCGUAGAGAUCAGAAGGAAUACCGAUUGCGAAGGCGAUCUACUAGAACAUUAUUGACGCUGAGACGCGAAAGCGUGGGGAGCAAACAGGAUUAGAUACCCCCGUAGUC